CAGGAAAGCUGGUUUGGAUCACACCGCCUUCUCAGUGACGUUCAUUCUUCAAACAAAUCCAGGAAAGAAGUGCCAAAAUCUGUAGGCUCACACCUUGGCAUGGCACAGGAGAAACCACCAGCAAGCAACAGGGAGAGAUUUCCCUUCAAUCUGAUGUGAUACAUACAUUAACUUUGAAUUUUAAUCCUUUUUGUCAUUGAUAUGACUCUCUAGAGCUCCUAUACCACAGGAAUGCAUCCAUCUCUAUCGAAGACUCACAGAAAACGCAGCAAGUAUCAGGAAAGAAAGCAAACCUAAACACACGGUGCAGUGUUUAUUGUCACAAGAUCAGCUUCCUCAAUGUACUGUCUGUAACUGCCCUGGAAAAGUUCUGGUGGGAACAGAAGCCUGAGAAAAUAGAACUCUGCAGGCUCUGUUUGGGUUCUUACAGCGAAAGGAUCCUGUUAUUCCUUCUAUCCUUGCGAGGGAGCUCGUUCCUUGCUCUCUGGCCUUCCAGCAAUAAGGUGAUGACACUGGUCCCGUGGCAGCUGCUGCCAUGCCUCACCACCCCCACCCGCCUUGCCCUCACGCUGCCACCAACACUUUCUGAGAUGGGUUGGGACAGCCGGUCUCUAUAUCGUCAUACUCAGGAAAUGAGCAGCCCGAAAAUGAGAUCGGGCAGUGAGAUUUUGUCCGAGCCAUUGUGUUUCUUGACUCCACCUUGGCCAUUGGUCUCGGAGGUGCCGUAAAGGACAGCCAGAUGCCACAAUGGGGCAAUCCAGUGCUUGUGGUGUCAGUGGGACGUAGAAUCACAGAGCGAUAGAAUCAUUAAGGUUGGAAAAGAUGUCCGAGAUCAUCAAGUCCAACCAUCAGCCCACCCCCACUGUGCCCACUGACCGCGUCCCUCAGUGCCACAGUUCUGGAACACCUCCAGGGACGGUGACUCCACCACCUCCCUGGGCAGCCUGUGCCAGUGCCUCGCCACUCUUUCUGACAAGAAAUGUUUCCUAAUAUCCAACCUGAACCUCCCCUGGUACGACUUAAGGCCAUUACCUGACGUCCUGUAGCUGUUACUGGGAGAAGAGGCCUCUUCACCACAACCUCCUUCAUAGCGGUCACACAGUAACAACUCCAUCUCCCUCAAACUUCUAAAGGAAUAAAUGCGAAGGGUUGGGCCAGAUUCGGGUUAUUCCUACGUACAUACCUGUAUAUAGAGACGCGUGUGCAUACAUACGUAUAAGAAACGACUGCUGGGUUUGAAGAGCGCUGCCCCGCGGAGGCCGGCAGUGUUUGAGGCACGGGGCCCACCUGCCCCGGUGCAGCACCGUCCCCCAGCACCGCUGCGGGCUCCCGCCUGUGCUCACCGCAUACCUCCGCCCUCGCUCCUGGAGAGCGGCCAAGCCGUUUUUUAACAUCGACUGGUUUGCUGUAAAAAAGGCACCGGGCUGCCCGGGGCCUUCGGGGCUACGGACACGUCCAGGCAGCCCGCGCGGGCGCGCCCAUCGCGGCCUCUUUCCCACACCCUCGCCCCUCACCACCCUCGGGCCCGGCCCCCCCCCUCCCCACCGGCCCGGCUCGGGGCCG
ensembl:lncRNA